AGUUUGAUCCUGGCUCAGAUUGAACGCUGGCGGCAUGCCUUACACAUGCAAGUCGAACGGUAACGGGCCUUCGGGUGCCGACGAGUGGCGAACGGGUGAGUAAUACAUCGGAACGUGCCCGAGAGUGGGGGAUAACGAGGCGAAAGCUUUGCUAAUACCGCAUACGAUCUCAGGAUGAAAGCAGGGGACCUUCGGGCCUUGCGCUCACGGAGCGGCCGAUGGCAGAUUAGGUAGUUGGUGGGAUAAGAGCUUACCAAGCCUGCGAUCUGUAGCUGGUCUGAGAGGAUGAUCAGCCACACUGGGACUGAGACACGGCCCAGACUCCUACGGGAGGCAGCAGUGGGGAAUUUUGGACAAUGGGGGCAACCCUGAUCCAGCCAUGCCGCGUGCAGGAUGAAGGCCUUCGGGUUGUAAACUGCUUUUGUACGGAACGAAAAGUCUCUGGUUAAUACCUGGGGAUCAUGACGGUACCGUAAGAAUAAGCACCGGCUAACUACGUG
rnacentral:rRNA from 1 species